UAUCCGGGAAGAGGACAAUGUUUGGAGGACAGUUUAUCUGGGGCGGAUUCCUGCUAAAAAGUAACGCAGGAGCACAAAGGUUCCCUUAUCUCGGAUGGAAAUCGAGAUGUAAGCGUAAAGGUAAAUGGGAGCUUGACUGCAAGACAUACAAGUCGCGCAGAUACGAAAGUAGGUCUUAGUGAUCUUCCGUGUGCCUAAUGGUAGGCCCGGAACUUAUCGGAUAAAAGUUACCCCGGGGAUAACAGGCUAAUAGUGCCCGAGCGCCCACAGCGGCGGCACUGUUUGGCACCUCGAUGUCGACUCUUCUUAUCCUGGGGCUGGAGCAGGUCCCAAGGGUUGGACUGUUCGUCCAUUAAAAAGGAGCGUUAGUUGGGUUUAGAGCGUCGUGAGACAGCUCGGUCCCUUUCCGCAACAGGCGUAGAGUUUUGAGGGGAGUCAUUCCUAGUACGAGAGGACCGGAAUGAACGAGUCUCUAGUGUACCAGUUGUUCUGCCAAGAGCAUCGCUGGGUAGCUACACUCGGUCGUGAUAAGCACUGAAAGCAUCUAAGUACGAAGCACACCCCAAGAUUAGAACUCAUCCCAUUUAUGGGACACAAUUCCUGGGAGACUACCAGGUUGAUAGGCUGCAGGUGUAAGCCCCGUAAGGGGUGC
rnacentral:rRNA from 1 species